GGAGAAUUCCCAGAAGAAUCCUUCCAAGUGUCCAGAAUUUUCUUUCAUCCAAACUUAAAUUCAAGGUCUACUCAUUAACUUCAUCUUCAUAUAUUUGCCGUAAACUUAAAUUCCAAGAAUGGAGCAUUCUUAGGUCACCUUUUGCCUCAAUAUUUUCCCCAAUCAAGAUUAAAAUUUUCAAUUUCUAAACUUAAAUUCAUAGCUACUGUGGUUAUCGUACUACCCAACUCUCUUCUAUGUUUUCUUUGAUUUUUCAUCUGGUACUGCGAAAUCAAAUUAGCUUUUUCUCUCAAUGUUUCCCUAAUCUUCUUCGGGUGAUGUUCAGAAUUUCCAAUUUUAUUGGUUAAAUUCACGUCUUCUACUGUUAUUGUUCUACCUUAACGCUUUCUUUGAUGUUCUGCCACAUUAAUUUUCUUCCUUUCAAUUUUCAUUAUCUCUUUUUCUCGAACCAGAGAAAUUGAAGAAUGCAAUUGAAAAUUAAUAGCUUCUUCAAGCCUUCUAUCAGUCAUCAUUUACUUACAACUACUUUCUUUUAUUAUAUUGUUUCUUUUGAAUGUCUCUAUGGUAGAUUCUUUUAUUACUUCUUUUUUUUUUGGAAGAGUUUAUCUGUAAUAUUUAUCCAAUUUUUUUCGUUGGUCCUUGUGUGUUAGAAGACAACAAGAGGAUCUUGAGUUGUCCUUGGAAUCAAGCAACUCAAAUAUGCAUGUAAGAUAUUGGCUUUUAAAACUUCAUCUCAAGUUACAAAAAUGUGUAAGUUUUUGUAGACACUUAUCAUGGUCUCUUCAUAUGCUAUUAUAAUAAGUUGGGAUUCAAGCUUUUUCUUUUUAUAUCGUUGAGCUUAUCAUGUGUAUGUUUGAGGUUUUUAAAAGUUUCAUAACUGAAUAAACCAUUUUCUAGCAAUUAAAAGUAAUUGAUUUGUCACUUGUCAGUUUAUCACUACUUAUUGAUAAGUAAGUAUCUAACUUCUUGAUUUCUUUGUUAGAUAGGGAGUUAAUUAUUUACUUGAGUGAUACCUCCAAAUCCUUUUUAAUGGAGUAACUAUAUUUAAAUUGAGCAAUACUUUCUGCAGUUGCACUAUUGAAAUUUACAUCUACUAUUUCUUCCCUUUUUAAUGAAAGAGGAGCUGCUUUGUUGGUGGAAACUGCAUAUUAGACUAACAAAAUGGAUUACACUACUGUGCGUCAAUAUGUAAUUUUUUGAUAUACUGUGAACUCUUGUCUAUAGCUUUUCAGUUUUUCUUUCUUUUUCCCUUGUUGUCCAUUCCAGUGUAUAAGAGUCUGAUAUGGCAGAAAUAACAUAUUUGUAUAGGUACACUGCUAGAGUUAGAGCUAAAAGCAUACAGAAGAAACAUUGUAAUAGCUUGAAAUUAACUUAAUCAUUUCAAAAUUUCUCCAGAUAUCAAAUAAAUCAGGUUUUGAUGUCGAAACCCCAAAUUUAUUUUAUUCAUCAAAAAAGUUGAUUAAUAAUCAGAUGAUGUAGAAUCUAUAUAAGACAUGUUAUUAAAAUAUGUAGACCUAGAAAGUUCUAAAUCAUAUUUGUCUUUAUUUCCUGAUUUUGUUAUAUCUAGAUACUACAACAUGUACAUCUGAGAAGAAUGCUUAAAUUAUCAAUUUUAGAGUAACUUGAUAGUUGUUACACUUCUAAUUUGUAACUUUUGUAAUCAUAGAUUGAAUGGAUAACUGAAAAUGGUGGACUUUUAUGUGAAUAACAUGAAUAAAAUACUGAUGUAAAUACUUAAAUUUAACGUGGUAAUCCAACUUCCUUGGAAUCAUUUCCUUACAGAUAGCUAUUCGAAUAAGAAAACAAUUAGUUGAUAGUCUCUUCAACCUCAGCUUAUCAGCAACCGAAAGAAAAAUAACAAUUAAAAAGCAUAGAUAAAGAUAGUUUAUUCAAAAAAAAAGUUGAACCCUUUUCUCUCUGAUUCACUUUUUAGAGGAUUAUGAAUAAUUUUUUUGAUGCCCAAAACAACAUAAAAUAACUAUCUUUUUCUGUUUUUCUGCGGUUAUAUCAUCUGGCCCUCUUUCAUUCUCCAAGAUCCAGGCUUACCCCGGUGAGUGUUGGUUGGAUUUUUGAAGUUCUAGCUUAAUAUUUAUGGGUGUAGAUAUAUGUGUUGUAUAGAUGUAAAUCUCUAUUCCUGUAUUGAUAAAUUGGAAGAAAUUUUGGCGCAUUGAUUCGAGAGAAGAGGAGACAGUUGACAGAGAUGUCAGAGGUUUUUUGUGAGGAGUGUGUGACAGAACCACUUGAGUUUAGUUCCAACAAGAACAUGUUAGAUGUUGUAUUUGAUAGUGUCGACCUUCUUCAAAAGAGUUCACAACGGAGGACGACAGUAAUGUGGACAGGCCUUGAUGCCAUUUAGUUCAUUAACCUUCUUCACAGCGCACUUCAAAUAUGGACACCAGAAUUGAAGUUCACUGCUAUCUCUCUCUGUAAUUCCUAGCGCUGUCGUUAAUGGACGGGUCAAUUUUUCUAUAUUGUCGCAAUAUGCGGAAAUAUGAGGCAUUUACAUGAGCUAUUUCUCUUUCUUCCGAUGACAUAGCUUCUAUCUUUGAAAUUUCUCCAAUCAUUGGUCUUCCCAUGCAGUGUUAAACAAUUGAGGUUUCUUUGCCAUUUAUUGGAUCCUAGCUUUGACAAGCUUUCAAUGAUAAAAUUUGAAAUUUCCAAGGU